UACGUAGGGGGCGAGCGUUGUCCGGAAUUAUUGGGCGUAAAGAGCGUGUAGGCGGCUAGGUAGGUCCGUUGUGAAAACUCGAGGCUCAACCUCGAGACGUCGAUGGAAACCAUCUGGCUAGAGUCCGGAAGAGGAGAGUGGAAUUCCUGGUGUAGCGGUGAAAUGCGCAGAUAUCAGGAAGAACACCCGUGGCGAAGGCGGCUCUCUGGUACGUGACUGACGCUGAGACGCGAAAGCGUGGGGAGCGAACAGG
rnacentral:rRNA from 1 species